GCCCUCAUUAGACUCAAAUUCUUCCUCUUUGGUACCUUCUCCAUCAACAUUAGACAAUGUUUCUUCCCCACCAAUCCUCUAUCCACCCAUCCCUUAGUCUUCAUGACAUUCUUCACAUCCCUAUUAACUGUGGACUCACUUAGAAGACCACCAUUAUUCUAUGCCCACUUUGUUCCUCCUUUGCAAACUUCUCUAGGUAUCUCAUAUCCUUUAUAAAAUU
rnacentral:lncRNA from 1 species